rnacentral:rRNA from 1 species
UUGAACGCUGGUGGCAUGCCUUACACAUGCCAGUCGCACGGCAGCACGGGUGCUUGCACCUGGUGGCGAGUGGCGAACGGGUGAGUAAUACAUCGGAACAUGUCCUGUAGUGGGGGAUAGCCCGGCGAAAGCCGGAUUAAUACCGCAUACGAUCUACGGAUGAAAGCGGGGGACCUUCGGGCCUCGCGCUAUAGGGUUGGCCGAUGGCUGAUUAGCUAGUUGGUGGGGUAAAGGCCUACCAAGGCGACGAUCAGUAGCUGGUCUGAGAGGACGACCAGCCACACUGGGACUGAGACACGGCCCAGACUCCUACGGGAGGCAGCAGUGGGGAAUUUUGGACAAUGGGCGAAAGCCUGAUCCAGCAAUGCCGCGUGUGUGAAGAAGGCCUUCGGGUUGUAAAGCACUUUUGUCCGGAAAGAAAUCCUUGGCCCUAAUACGGUCGGGGGAUGACGGUACCGGAAGAAUAAGCACCGGCUAACUACGUG